AUUGCAAUUUAUUUUAUAAAAAUAAUUUGAGGAAAGUCCGGGCUCCUUAAAGAUUAAAAUAGCUGGAUAAUUUCCAGUGUAGGUAACUAUGAGGACAGUACUACAGAAAUAAACAAUUUUUGUUUUUUAAAACAAAAAAAAUGGUGCAAUUUUUUAUUGGCAUUAUGAAAAGCCGAAUUAGUAAACCCCGUUUAGGAGCAAGGUCUAUGGGUAAUGGUUAGUCUUUUUCCGCCCUAUUUUUUUUGAACCGCUAAAAUAAUUUGGUAACAAGUUAGUUAGACAGAUAAUCACCAUCUUAUUUUUAAGAGAACAAAACCCGGCUUACUUU
rnacentral:RNase_P_RNA from 1 species